rnacentral:rRNA from 1 species
AUUGAACGCUGGCGGCAGGCCUAACACAUGCAAGUCGAGCGGCAGCGGAAAGUAGCUUGCUACUUUGCCGGCGAGCGGCGGACGGGUGAGUAAUGUCUGGGAAACUGCCUGAUGGAGGGGGAUAACUACUGGAAACGGUAGCUAAUACCGCAUAACGUCGCAAGACCAAAGAGGGGGACCUUCGGGCCUCUUGCCAUCAGAUGUGCCCAGAUGGGAUUAGCUAGUAGGUGGGGUAACGGCUCACCGAGGCGACGAUCCCUAGCUGGUCUGAGAGGAUGACCAGCCAGACUGGAACUGAGACACGGUCCAGACUCCUACGGGAGGCAGCAGUGGGGAAUAUUGCACAAUGGGCGCAAGCCUGAUGCAGCCAUGCCGCGUGUAUGAAGAAGGCCUUCGGGUUGUAAAGUACUUUCAGCGGGGAGGAAGGUGUUGAGGUUAAUAACCUCAGCAAUUGACGUUACCCGCAGAAGAAGCACCGGCUAACUCCGUGCCAGCCGCCGCCGUAAAAC